rnacentral:tRNA from 1 species
GAGCCUAUAGCUCAGCUGGUUAGAGCGCACGCCUGAUAAGCGUGAGGUCGGUGGUUCGAGUCCACUUAGGCCUACCA